rnacentral:rRNA from 1 species
GGGCCCGCACAAGCAGCGGAGCAUGUGGUUUAAUUCGAAGCAACGCGAAGAACCUUACCAGAACUUGACAUCGUCUGAAUUACCCGUAAUGGGGGAAGUCCUUCGGGACAGAUAGACAGGUGGUGCAUGGUUGUCGUCAGCUCGUGUCGUGAGAUGUUGGGUUAAGUCCCGCAACGAGCGCAACCCCUAUUGCUAGUUGCCAUCAUUAAGUUGGGCACUCUAGCGAGACUGCCGGAGACAAUUCGGAGGAAGGUGGGGAUGACGUCAAAUCAUCAUGCCCCUUAUGUUCUGGGCUACACACGUGCUACAAUGGGUGUAACAACGAGACGCAAGCUAGUGAUAGCAAGCAAAUCUCUAAAAAACAUCCUCAGUUCGGAUUGUAGGCUGAAACCCGCCUACAUGAAGUUGGAGUUGCUAGUAAUCGCGAAUCAGAAUGUCGCGGUGAAUACGUUCCCGGGCCUU